rnacentral:rRNA from 1 species
GACGAACGCUGGCGGCGUGCCUAAUACAUGCAAGUUGAGCGCUGAAGGUUGGUACUUGUACCAACUGGAUGAGCAGCGAACGGGUGAGUAACGCGUGGGGAAUCUGCCUUUGAGCGGGGGACAACAUUUGGAAACGAAUGCUAAUACCGCAUAAAAACUUUAAACACAAGUUUUAAGUUUGAAAGAUGCAAUUGCAUCACUCAAAGAUGAUCCCGCGUUGUAUUAGCUAGUUGGUGAGGUAAAGGCUCACCAAGGCGAUGAUACAUAGCCGACCUGAGAGGGGGAUCGGCCAAAUUGGGACGGAGACACGGCCCAAACCCCUACGGGAGGCAGCAGUAGGGAAUCUUCGGCAAUGGACGAAAGUCUGACCGAGCAACGCCGCGUGAGUGAAGAAGGUUUUCGGAUCGUAAAACUCUGUUGGUAGAGAAGAACGUUGGUGAGAGUGGAAAGCUCAUCAAGUGACGGUAACUACCCAGAAAGGGACGGCUAACUACGUG